UCCCUCCCCAGAAUGGCACAGCCAGGACCCAAGACAGAAGUGUCCGCAUCCACCAGCCAGUGCAGAUAGCCGCCGCCCCGAGUUUAGAAGCAGCUGGCAUGUCCGGCAGCCCGUGGCAGGUCCUAGUCCCCUGUGAGCCCCACAGUGUCCGGUGUCCCCAGCGAGCCCUAUCACACACCCCCAGCCACCCCUGCCCCUCCUGUCUGGGUGCUGGGCUGAGCUCGCGGGUUUCCCAUAACUUCCCAGGUCUAUUCAAGGCGGCAUUUCUGGGUUUGUCAAUCAAUAGUUUAUUUUAAAAUAGAUGCGGGGAGGGUGUUCCUUGAGAAGGAGCCGGAAUAGACACAGAGCUGCUGGCAGGCGGGCGCAGGCGACAGCCUCGCAAGGACAGAGUCCACAGCACCGCCACCUCGGCCACGGGACCCCACCUCCGCGGACCCCAGCCCCGCAGCACAACAAGCGCUCGGCGGGUCACCGAGCAGCAGCACCCAGACGCCGCCCCGUAGAAGCCCCACGGUCUAGGAGAUCUCUGGACCUCUGAGACUGCCUCUAGGGAGCGACUAAUACAAGCUUCCCGGGCUCUGGUCUGUGAGGCUUCUCCCAGUGUCUGUAUUACUCGGUCUUCUUCCAUAGCGUCGCUUUCCCUCAGUCGGGAUAUUUUCCCACAGCCCUGCUCGCCAGUCCACCUCCUCCUGCACCUGGAGGGAAAUGAAACUGUUACUGAAUUCUCCUACUGCUUUCAGAGCCUCAAUCUCCUUUCAGUUUUUAAGUUCUAUACUUUAAAACCCUUAUUGCAGAUGAGUUUGUCUCAUUUGUGCAAACAAUGGAAGUUUAUUUUACUCCCUCCAUUUCUUUUCCUUAAUUGAAUGUUGAACCCUGUGUGAAGAUAUAAAGAUUUAGAUACUAUGAUGUUCUUCUAAGAAAAAUUUUUUUCCAGUGGCAGUUAGUACAGAAUCCCACGCCACUGAUUUAUGGAUAGAGAUGUGCAUAGUUUAUCACUGUGUGCCCUCGGAUACCUUUUUCAGUAGUUUGUUUACAUAAUGAGCAACUAUUGACCAAAUGCUGGCCCUGCACCCCAGGCAUUAGUACCAGGGGGGUGUGGCGUCCACUGCAGCAGCUCCCUGGCCCUCAGAGCUCAAGGUUGAAGGAGGCAGCUGCCCCACGUUACUGUCACUGAUGAGCCGAGUGGAGGAAGUGUCGUCCAUAAAUUCAGCUCUUCACGCACACCUUAGCCGUCUCCGAGGACAAGUGACAUCCUGCCUGUCAGCCUGCUGUGCUGUAGGUGAAUACCUGGAGAUGACCUGAGGAGGACCUAGCGGGCACCAAGACAGCCUGCCUGCUCUUGAGCUCUCAGAACGGGCUCCAGGUAGAAAGGAGAAUGUGUGUCCUCCGACCUUACUCCUCUCUGUCCCCAGACCUGUCCUCAGUAUGCAGAGGACAGAGAGACAGAGGUGGUGGUGACUUUGUCGACCCAAAGAUCCUUGGAUUUCCAUGGGGAGGGGGAUCUGAGCACUGUUCCAGGGUUACCCUCAGCUUGUGUUGUGAUGGAAAUAAUUAUGAGAUUAUUCUCCCCUGAUCCUUUUUUCUUGUAUUAAGCACAUUAGAAAUGGAUAAAGUAUAUGGGUAAAUAAAGAAUUCUGAUAGAAAAUUGCUUGUAA